UUGACUAAAUCAGUUAAAACUUUCAACAACGGAUCUCUUGGUUCCGGCAUCGAUGAAGAACGCAGCGAAAUGCGAUAAGUAAUGUGAAUUGCAGAAUUCAGUGAAUCAUCGAGUCUUUGAACGCACAUUGCGCCCCCUGGUAUUCCGGGGGGCAUGCCUGUCCGAGCGUCAUUGCUGCCCUCAAGCACGGCUUGUGUGUUGGGCUCUCGCCCCCCGCUUCCGGGGGGCGGGCCCGAAAGGCAGCGGCGGCACCGCGUCCGGUCCUCGAGCGUAUGGGGCUUCGUCACCCGCUCUGUAGGCCCGGCCGGCGCCCGCCGGCGAACACCAUCAAUCUUAACCAGGUUGACCUCGGAUCAGGUAGGGAUACCCGCUGAACUUAAGCAUAUCAAUAAGCGGAGGAAAAGAAACCAACAGGGAUUGCCUCAGUAACGGCGAGUGAAGCGGCAAGAGCUCAAAUUUGAAAGCUGGCUCCUUCGGGGUCCGCAUUGUAAUUUGCAGAGGAUGCUUCGGGAGCGGCCCCCAUCUAAGUGCCCUGGAACGGGCCGUCAUAGAGGGUGAAAAUCCCGUCUGGGAUGGGGUGUCCGCGCCCGUGUGAAGCUCCUUCGACGAGUCGAGUUGUUUGGGAAUGCAGCUCUAAAUGGGUGGUAAAUUUCAUCUAAAGCUAAAUAUUGGCCGGAGACCGAUAGCGCACAAGUAGAGUGAUCGAAAGAUGAAAAGCACUUUGAAAAGAGAGUUAAACAGCACGUGAAAUUGUUGAAAGGGAAGCGCUUGCGACCAGACUCGCCCACGGGGUUCAGCCGGCAUUCGUGCCGGUGUACUUCCCCGCGGGCGGGCCAGCGUCGGUUUGGGCGGCCGGUCAAAGGCCCUCGGAAUGUAACGCCCCCCGGGGCGUCUUAUAGCCGAGGGUGCCAUGCGGCCAGCCCAGACCGAGGAACGCGCU
rnacentral:sRNA from 1 species